UACGUAGGGUGCGAGCGUUGUCCGGAAUUAUUGGGCGUAAAGAGCUCGUAGGCGGUGUGUCGCGUCGGCCGUGAAAACCUGCAGCUUAACUGUGGGCGUGCGGUCGAUACGGGCAUCACUGGAGUUCGGCAGGGGAGACUGGAAUUCCUGGUGUAGCGGUGAAAUGCGCAGAUAUCAGGAGGAACACCGGUGGCGAAGGCGGGUCUCUGGGCCGAUACUGACGUGGAGGAGCGAAAGCGUGGGGAGCGAACAGG
rnacentral:rRNA from 1 species